GUCAAUAUGUUCCUGAUAGCUGCACAGUAAUUUAUUGUACUCUUGUUAAGAUAUUUGUCUGCACCAAAAGUAUAUCUUGUAAAAGCUAGCAUCUUUCACUAUCUUAUCAUGUAAAAAGAUGUAACAGCAGCCAGUGGUUUCAUCAACACAAGGCCCUGCUUUCACGUCUUUCAAGGUUGACCCAGUUUGUCACAUGGCCUAAACAUGACAUGGCAUUUAUUGAUCACGUAAGCACACACAUGGGAGGACCACUGCUUUAUCAAUGAUGUCAAAGGAUGUCUAUAAAAACCUUACUGUAAACUGUUUUCAAUUUCCAAUUUUU